UUUCUCUGAAAGCAUACAUCUAUAUAUAUACAUAUGUAUAUGUGUGUGACUGUCUUUAGCACUAAGACAAUAUUUAGUCGUUAAGCAGAGGACUGAGACCUUUCCAAACCUUAAUCUGGAAAAAGAGCCUGCUAGUUUGCCUCUCUGACCUCCAAAACAGACUAAGAUGUCAUUGCAAUGCAGAUGUCAACUCUGAUUACUAUUUUCAAAACCAAUUCUUUUGAAUGAGCUUGAAGUAUUUGAAGAUUGAUGGCUGUGACAGCUCAGAGGGCUAAAUAUGGUUUUGGUGAAUUACAGAAAUACAGGAGUGGAGUAGAGCAGAGCAGUAAUAUCAUAACCAGCAGAUUCUUCCAAGGAACACUAUUGUUAAGCUUUUCCCAAACUUUCAGAUAUAUACUGAACAUGGCUUGCUUACAUCUCCAGACCUCUGGUGUCAUUUCAUCAGGAUGGAUGUUUCUACUGGCGUGUUGCAGAAUGUCUACCAUAAACAUGAAUAAGUAAGACCAGGCCCAAGAAAGACAGUAGUAAAGGUGUGAGAUCCAGAUGAAUUUGGGUCAUAUAUGGCUGUUUAUUAGUAUGCUCACUGGAACAAAUGUGGUUCAGUGUUUCUCCCACACUCAGUAACCUACUUCUACACAGAAAAUGUUUCUUGAAAAGUACCUUGAUAGUUUUAUGAAGCGGGGUGUGGGUUUUUUCAAGAUCUGGAAGUAUUUGUGGUACAUCUUAAUUAUUCUUAAUUCGGAUUAUUGCUCAGACAAUUUAUCUCACUAGUAGUAGUGAUUUAGCACCCUCAUGGGUCACCUUCUCACAAAUGAUGGGUGAGAAGCACAGAAGAGGAAUGAACAUUUCCAUAUGUAAAUAGAAAGUGUGGGUGUCCAGACUUGCCAAUUUCCAAUGCUUUUGUAGACAUUAAAUAAAAUCAGUUCUAAUUUGACCCCUUAAUGAAAAAGAGAGAGGCUUCCUCCCAGCUGUCUUUCUCUGAAUACACGUAAGUUGGCAAACAUGCUCGUUUCAGUUGCAACACUGCAUCCAUUUCUCCCUGAAACAUCCAAAAGGCUGGGGUUAGAAACAACCCAGAAGGACUCCAAAAUCGCCCCCCAAAAUAAACUGCAGAAAAAAA